rnacentral:lncRNA from 1 species
AUAUUGUCAUAUUUUUCUUGACUUAUAUGUCACACUCUGAUGCUCAUACAGUGAAAUUGAGUAACAAUAUAUUUCUUAGUACCUGUUCCUGUCAUCAAGUAACAUGGGACUAUAAUUGCAGCUUCAAAGCCACAUCUAGAGUGGUCAAACAGGUCUUACAGACUCAUGCAUGACAAGCUGAGCAAGCAAUUCAGCUGAGAUGCUAGUAAAACAUGGAGAAACCAAAGUGAAGUUCCAAACAAACAUGCCCUGAUGCCCUGGGACACUGAAUACUGUCCAAUAGGAAAACAAAACCAAGGAGAAUGGGGAAGGAAUUGUGGGGAGAAUUAUUUGGAGGGGCAUGCUGCUGUACUACAGAUCUCAAAGCCCCUCACGCCAACCAGGAGGUCAAGUGGAGUGCUAUCUCCCUCAUCUCAGACCUGGUCAGUGGCCUGAAUUUCAAGGGAAUCCCUCAGAGAGCUUGACAUGAACUCCCUGGAGUUGAAUCAUUGUUUAGGCCAGAGAAGUUUCCAGAUUACAGGCUUUUUUUUUUUUUUUUUUUUUAAAGACGGUCUCCCAGAGUUGUCCAGGCUGACCUCAAACUUGUGAUCCUCCUGAGUCACUGGGAUUAUAGAUAUGUACCAGUAUACCCUGCUAAAGCUUAAACUCACUUCAGAUUAUAUCCAAAUUGGCAAAACUUGGUGUGUAUCUACCAAGUUUGAAACAGACCAUAUUCUGAAACUGAUUUCUUGGUGUUUCAGGAACAUUUGUAUCAGUGUUAACAUGGUUCACAAGGAUCCCUCAGCUUUGCUAAAUGUCUAUUUCACAUCCCCACUCAACCCCAUUUCUCUUCUGCCAGAAUCCUGGAGAUCACUCCUUCACCUACUCCCUCCACCCCAUCCCUGUCUGGACCUCCUCCGCCACUUCAACACACCCUUUCUAGAACCACCCCUGUUCCACCAGAGUGGAUGUAAACAAACUGAAGAACUAACAGAUAUUGCUCUGUCACCACAGAAAUAAGAGGAAGUAGAAAUGAAGGGAGAGGGUGAGACAGAAAAAGCCAGAAGCCUUCCCUUUUCUUUUUUCCUCAACACACCAUAGGGUUUC